CUGCCAUGGAUUUCGACUUCAACGAUGCACGCCCUAUGCCAUUCUUGAGCACCCCUUCUACUCCUAAACGUUUGGGCGAUUGCUCUCUCAGUGCUCCCAGUAGUCCUUCACGCGUUGCCGAGUUCUAUCGUCGUUUUGAUGACUUCGCCUGGGAUGCUAACUCUACUCCUCUUUCACCCAUGGCUGCUGCUGCACACAGUAGUAGUGGUGGAGAUGACUUCGCUUUUGAUUUCAGGUCCGAACUGGAGGAGAAUUCUCUCUCUGCUGCGGAACUUUUUGAUGGUGGAAAAAUUCGGCCCUUGAAGCCUCCUCCUCGAUUACAGAUG
rnacentral:lncRNA from 1 species